AGCCCUGCAGUGAGUACACAUCAAAUUGCAAAUUUGAAAACGACACUCUUUGU
rnacentral:tRNA from 1 species